UGAGAUCAUUGUGAAAACUGGUU
rnacentral:miRNA from 2 species